AGAAGAGGAGAAGAAGCAGCGUCGCACUGCGCAGGAGCGGAUGUAAAGCGGAUCGCUGCUCGCAUCGCUCGUGAGGUCGGAAAUCGUCGCUGGUGUUCGACCCGGUCAACCUCCCCUAAAGUCAUGUGGAAGACUGGUCCAGGUCCAUGAAAGAGUCUGAUCGGGACUUUAAUCUGAAGGAGUACUCUGCUGUAAAUUAGAGGUUAAUCCAGGAGACUGAAGGGGACGGUUAGUUUCCCGCCCUGCUCGGAGCUGAAAUCAUCGAAGGCACGGACAGAUGUCGUCCCACUAUUCAUCAUCCCGGGGCUCAUCCCGAGCCACAGACUGUAAAGUCUACGUUGGGGACUUAGGCAACGGUGCAGCUAAGGGGGAGCUGGAGAGAGCGUUCAGUUAUUAUGGCCCGCUGAGAAGCGUCUGGGUGGCGAGGAACCCGCCUGGCUUCGCUUUUGUGGAGUUUGAGGAUCCCAGAGAUGCAGAAGAUGCUGUGAAGGGAAUGGAUGGGAAACUCCUUUGUGGUUCCCGUGUUCGUGUGGAGAUGUCAACAGGCCUCUCCAGAAAGGGCCGUGGACGCCCAAGCCGACGCCAGUUUGAUCCCCAAGACCGGUGUUACCAGUGUGGAGAUCGGGGCCACUACGCCUAUGACUGCUACCGCUUCAGCAAGAGAGGAGGAGGAGGAGGAGGCCGCCGGGGCAGCAGAUCUCGCUCUCGUUCAAGAUCUCGCUCCAGAUCCAGGUCCCGUGGACGCCGCUAUCACUCUCGCUCUCGCUCACGCAGCCGCAGCUACAGCCGGAGCCGCCGUCGAUCCCCGUCCUACUCCAGGCGCAGGAGCCGGUCUGGCUCCCAAGCACGUUCUAAAUCCAGGACUCCAGCGAGAAGUCGCUCCAGAUCGAGGUCUCGUUCUGGCUCUGCACCAAGAGGGCGCUCUGCACCCAGGGGGCGCUCUGCACCCAGAGGACGCUCUUUCUCACGCUCAAGGUCCCCAUCAGCCAACCACAAGAGGAACAGCGUGUGGUGGGAGCUGAGCACUGCACUGACACCACAGCUGAUCCCAGGCCCAGGGUCUGCCAGCUGGCGGUGUGUACGUCCUGCGGGAGGGUGACAUAGCGCUGACCUGAGAUCAGCCUUCGCCUGCAUCUGGUGUUAGACAGCGAGAAAGAGGUCGACCUGCAGACAGAACCCUCCCCACAGUGAAAGGGUGACCGUCUGUUCAACCGACGCACACGCUCAGAUGAGAUCAGCCCGCGCACACAUAGAGUUGUUCUACUAGAAUCACCCAGACAGCCUUCAGAUCUACCAGAGGGCUGACCACACAGAUCAGAGUUCGACCACUACCUUUUUAAACCCAAAACCUACCUACCAGACCCGUUUCUACCUACCAGAGUUCUUCGGCCUCUGACUUAGCUUCUCUGAAAGUGAGAGAAAGAGCUGACGAGAGAUCAGUCUUCAAGAGGCCACCAGCGCAGUGUCUCUCCAAGUUGUAGUCAUCCGUCCUUCAGUCCUUUCAUCCUUCGCUUCUCUGUACUUGUUGUUUCUGCCACUGUCUGCAAAGUCGUUCCCGUUCGGCAACCCCAAACCGAGGCGCAACGCCAGCUGAAGACUGAGUGAAGACUCAAAAGUCCCAUCUAAUGUCCCUCCUCUUUAUAGACCCUCACCCCUGCUCCAUGUCUGCUUUUACAGCCUAACAGCAGCUUUUUUUGUACUUGUCUGUCUCGACCCAGCUUAAGUUGAGCACGUUUUUCUGAAGAAACAAAACCUCCCAUGGACUGUGGUCUCAAACUGUUGAGGAUUAAGUCAGUACGACAAGUAAAAUAAGUUUCCAUUUGAUUGUUUUAAAUGUUGCUGUUAAGAUUAUCUUUGAUCUUGCAUCCAUGUUGAGGUAAUUCUGAAUGUUGCAGACAACUUUUAGCAGGUAGUUCAUUUGGAAAAAACUGCCUGGUUCAUGCAGGGUUCCUGAGGCUGAAGAUUUCUGAACUCUUUCUCCUCUUUUGCAAAAGAUUUUUUUAUUUUAUUUUUUGCCUCCCUAUUUGAAGUCAUGAUUUCGUCAUCAUAUAACGGCUCCAGGAAAUGGCGGCUGGCCUGCAUGCCUUUAAAUAUGGUGUCACAUUCCUGCUGUUUGUUCUCUGCCCUUUUUACGGUCCUGAUCAGCUUCCCUUUACGCUGAAUGGAUUCGCCCUGCAUGGUAGUCCCAAUUUGAUUCUGUGAAUUCUGAUUUUAAAAUGUAAACAGUGCUUCAGUUUGAUUUCUGUAAGGGCUGCUUUAACAGUUUGUUGUGUCCCGGCUCAUCUGAAGACAGUGGCAGUUUUAUUUUUGAAUUAAACCUCUUCAUCAUACCUC